GCCAUAGCUGCUGCCCCUGUCAUACCAGCAUGAGGUGUGGGGUGGGCAGAGGAAGCGAGCGGGGAGGGAGGAAGGGAGCAUGCAGCUGCCAUGUAGGCGCUGUGCAGCAUGGCACCAAAAGACCCACGAUUUUCUGAUUUCCAUCUCAGGAAUGUUGGAAGGUAGGAUGUUCUGCUUCUGCCUUAUGCUGAGGCCCACCUAGCUCAGUGGUGUCGGAUUCAGACAUUACGCUUCAUGGAGACAAAGGUUCCAGUGUGUGCAGAGCUCAUCACCGGUUCCAGUGUGUGCGGAGCUCAUCACCAGUUAUGGGAGGAGCUGAGCCAGCCAACAUUAUUGAAAGAGGUGAGUGGUGAAGACACCUUUGGGGCUUGGCGGAUUAAACAGUGGCUGCUCAGCUCAAAAGCUACAGCAUCUGGUGGGAUGAGGCGGAUUAUGUCUUACUGCUGCAAGAAAAGGUGGAUGCUGCUGGGCCUUGGAUGUAGCCAGAAGAGUUAAUGCAGACACAUGCUUCUCCUUUCCCAAGGUCUAUUGCUGUAGAGACGUCAGUGUUCCAGCAGAAAUAGAGGCAAGUUGUAAGAAGUCAUGAACAAGACAUUCAACUUAAUUUGCCCAGAGAGUUUGUUAAAUAACAAGCAUCUGGUUGAAGAGGCACAAAAUGAUGUUUUACUGUGUUCAGUCUAAAUAUUUGACCAACUUCCAUGACCUUGUUAAGUCCUGGGAAGCAAUUUAAACAUCAGAGAUCAGCAGCUCAACAGACCUCAGGUCAGUAAUUAAUAACGCAUCACCUCAAACAUGGAAAUAAAUUAGUUUUUUGCAGGAGAUUUCUCCUCCCUCCUGUCACUUGCAGGGGAGCGGGGCUGCGACAGGAACAGCCUUAAAGAGGCUCUGCUUAUUUAGAACCACAAUCAGUUUUGAAAAUAUAAACUUGGCCUGCAAGGACUUGCACCCGAAAGUGCAGAAGGGAACACACAAGUGAAGAAGAUUGACAAAGGCCAACAACACCUAGGCAGGCAAGAAAUGGGUGUCCAAAAAGACCAAGAGGCUGUAGGAACUCCCCUAUGAGGACAAGGGGCUUUCUAGUUUAGAAAAUAGUCAAAAAAGGUGGGGGUGGAGGAGUAUAAAAAUAUGCCUGAGAUUAUUCAGUGGUUGGCUGGGUGGUUGGAUGCCUGAACAGCACUCCACGCUGCAACAUUUUGUUGCAGGUCCUAAAUGGAACUUCGCAUAUAUCUCCCAGAGAAUUCUUAAUGGAAGUUCAUAAGAAGUUACCACCACCUGUUGGAUACUGAUGGAAUCUGCAGGCUAUGUGCUUAUGAGCAACAGAGGGGCCACUCAGAUCUCGACCCUCAAAGAUAAGAUUAAAAACCUCUCCCAUGGAGCAUUGAAGCACUUUUGCCAUAGAUGACUUGCAACCAUAAAGAUCCCUUGCCUUUCCCCCCUGGAUUGUAAGAAUACACUUCCCAUAACAGUAUUCAUCUUUAAAACUAAAAUGACUUGGUAAUUUUACUGCAAGGAUAAGAGCUGGGAUUUGAACUCCUAAAUAUUAUUGAAAUUCCCUUUUUUGAAGGCUGGCCAACUGGCCUAAAGGUAAACUAAUUAGUUUCUGCUACCUGUACUUAAAUCUGUACCUACCCAAAGACUUUAAAAUCCUUCGGGGAGUCUGUUCAUAAUAAACCUGUGUUGUUGUUUUCGCAAAGAGAAUUUAGAAUGGAUGUGAUUAACUAAAGUUCGAGAACCUUGGCAUUUCUGUAAUUGCAGACUGUGUUGUUCUUGUAUUUUAGGAACCACAUUAUUUCAUGUACAUGUUUUUGUAGCCUGAUAAUAUUCGCAUUACCUUUAUAAUCCUUUUAUUAAGCAAACAUGUAUAUUUUUGAUAUUGAGCAUCUGUCCAUAGGUUUCCUGGCAAUAUGAAACAAAUCUGCAAAGAGCCCCUUCUGUGCAAAAUAGCAGGACACUAAUCUGGCUUUCCCAAAUCUAGUUUGUUGACUUAAGGCUAUAUAACAACUGACGUCCAAGACAUCGUUCUUUAUUUAUUACAUCACAUCAACUUCAAAACCUUCCAUGUCCUUGCCUGCCCACUUUAUCUCUCCACCCUUAUAUCCUGACACAUGACCUUCAUUUGUUUUAACUUCACCAUCUUUCUGCUUCCACAAGCAACUCCAUCCUUUCUCCCUUGCUCCCCAUUAGGCCUCAAGCGACCUUCCACAACCCCAUGAGGCAAACACCCUUACGUUCUUCUGACCUCUCCUCAAAACCCACCAGGAUAAGGUAAAAGUAAAGGUAAAGGACCCCUGGAUGGUUACGGUCAGUCAAAGGCGACUAUGGAGUUGCGACGUUCAUCUCACUUUCAGGCCGAGGGAGCUUGCAUUUGGCCAGACAGCUUUCCGAGUCAUGUGGCCAGCAUGACUAAACUGCUUCUGGAGCGAAGGAACACCGUGAUGGAAACCAGAGUGCAUGGAAACACCGUGUACCUUCCUGCCUCAGUGGUAUCUCUUUAUCUACUUGCACUGGUAUGCUUUUGAACUGCUAGGUUGGCAGAAGCUGGGACAGAGCAACGGGAGCUCAGUCUGUCGUGGGGAUUUGAACCGCCGACCUUCUGAUCAGCAAGCCCAAGAGGCUCAGUAGUUCAGACCACAGUGUCACCUGCAUGCGACCCCCAUGCCAUGUGUUGGACCGCCCUGCUCUAGGGCUUCCAAGCUGAGGUCUUCUGAGUCAGAGGAGGGCUAUACAAUGUCUUCAGGCUGGCGGGGGAGGGGAUGAUGCCACAAGCUCUCGUUGUGGUUAGGCAAUUCUGAGGCUGGCCCUGAGAGCACUUCCCUCUCAUGGCCUGAAUCCCCAGCUUUAUUCCCUAAGGAAGGGACAACUGUGUCCAGGGUCAUUGCCUUUAGCUUGAACACAGCUGCUAUACGACAUGCUUGGAAAUCAUGCCCUGAGAGCGUAAUUGGCACCCUGCCAUAAUCUUGGUGGCCAGGGGGUGCUCCAGCAGCUGUGGAGGGAAAGAAGAGGUAUGUGAGCCCUAGCCCACAAACAUGACCCCUGUUUUCCUCAGAGAAACAAAGGUAGAAUCUAGUGUCUCAUUCAAUACCCGGAGCAGGAGAUGUAAAAAUGCCCUCCGACAAGUCAUUGUCUUGGCGGCUAUGACAAAGUCUUUUUGCUUCUUCUGUAACCAACACCUCUCUUUAUUCAUCUCCUCAUGUAUUGACAUGAAUCUACUGCUGCAAUUGCUGCUAACUCACUCCUCAAGCCCCAGUCUUCAUAGUCCCCGCUACCUCUUGGUCAUGCUGGAAGAUAGCCAUGAGAUGAUUUGGCAUAUUUCAUAGAUAGAUAGAUAGAUAGAUAGAUAGAUAGAUAGAUAGACAGAUACUUAGGAUUCUGAACAGGCUACCAUAUUCUGCAGCAAAUUCUAUAUGCACGGAAUAACCCAAGACAACCAAUCUGGUCUACAGUGCUGGUACUUCCAAUUAAUUUGAUCUUAUCUUUCCCUCAGUGGACAACCGGGUGUUCUACAUCAUCUUUAUGGUAGCAUUUUAAAACCUGGUGAAUGUUAUAUUCCCCAUUUAAUUUUCUUUUUCAAAGCCAAGUAAUUUUCUAAGCCCAGAUAUUUUUUUUCUCUCUCUCUCCCUCCUACCUCAUGCAUUACAGGCAUUUUAUACCCUCUUCUCAGGCUUUGCUACAAUCAAGCACUUCAGAAUAGUUUUUUGGUCCUUAUUCACAGCAAACGUUGUAUUUCUAAGUCUUAUUCUGCUUAUGAUCUAAGUACAACAUCCCCAAAUCCUUCUUAAUGGAAAUAUGUUUAAACAGUUAUCCCCAAUUGAGCUCUCUAGCUGGUUUGGAAAUAUCUUAACUAUUUGGGGAUACAUGUUGAAAACAUCAUUAAUAGGGAGGGGGGUUCAGAUAGGGGCAAAUCAAUGCUUUGCAAUGGUGCAGUCAGCCUUUAGUUGAAAUGGGACUAUUACUGGUGUUCCAUUGGCAUGGUUAUGUAUUGUUUCUAUGUCGAAUUGCAAUGAUGAGAAUUGAAUCAUUAGUGUUUUCCUAACGAUGGGGCAUCCACAAUUCCCUCCCCAUCCCAGCAUCAUCCCAGACCUCUCCUUUUAAUUUCAGGGUUUCUCAAUGCUUGGAAAAUUCAGAAUGACCAGGAUUGGGGGAAACCUACAUUUAAAGGACGGGGGUGGGGUGGGGGGAGGUCCAGGACAACACUAAGAUAAGGAAGACAUACAGAAGCACCCCCGCCUACAUUAGUGGGGAGACAGGCAGGUGCAAAUCCACAUUUUGCUUCAGUGCAGAUAAGCCCCAAAUGUAAUCUUUUAUUGAGUUUGCCUAACCCAGUCCUAGCCCCUCGGGUAAGAGUCUUUUCAUGUCGAACUUCAAGGAGAGAUGCUGCCUUAAAGCUCAGCACAAAAAUAAUUCUUCCCAAAUUAUACAAAUUUGAGAAAGGCUACAUUUAGCUGAAAUGGAGUAUUACUGGUAUUUCGUAGUAACUGGCAUGUUUGUUUGUGUAGUAUAUUGCAAAUACAAUUUCUUGUUCUUUUCAUUCUUGUGCGUAGGGACUUUCGCUGUGGGCAGGUUGGUGGUCAUUGAUCUCCUUAUCCUCAGUGCAUGUCUUUUAGGGGAAAAAUAGGAUCUGGUACCCCCUUGAGUACCCCCAGAAGAAAGCACUGCUUAUCCUUCUUUUCAGUUCUUCAGAUGGAAUGGUUCUUCUUAAAGUUUUGGAGCUGAGCAUUGGACAGACCAAAGACAGGGACCUGCUUUUACAGACUGUGGAUUAUUCCACGAAAGGCGCUAAGUUUCUGUCCUGAUCAAAAAAAUAAAAAAUGAAUUCUCCACCAUCCAUUCACUCAAAUUUAUUUAUUUAUUUAAAAGGUUCAUUUCGCACCAAGGGCUUCAGAACGCACACUGAUUCACAUUUCAUUGAAGUGCAGGCUUCGUUUUCCCAGGGCUUUUGAUCAGUGCCCUGUUAUUUGAUUCACACGCCUCUGUGUACUCAGAGGGAGGAAUAGCUGGAAGUUACAAGGCCAGGAUUGUCGCCAGAAACUUCUCAGAUGAAAGAACAGGCUCCUUAGAGACAAAAUGUUAAGGUGUAGAGUCACGUAGAAUGUUAGAGUAAGGGCAGCCCUUUAAAAAUCUGCUGCUUGAGAAGUUGGUAGGAAAUGCCAAAGUUCCAGAUCCCUAGAAAGUGGUUUAACAAAAUCAACAGAUUUGAUUCACAAAGAGGCAGAGCUAACCCAAAACAAUCUGGUGCCUGAGGUGCAAAAUCCAAAUGGCACUAGUGUGGUUAUGUCAUUAGGGUGUCAAGCUGGAAUUAAAGUUCUAAUUCUGGCAGAGUAAUAAUGCUCAUUUUGGCCAGUUACCAUCUCUCAGCCUAACCCUACCCCACGCAACAUUAUAAGUAAUUAUUGUUGCUACCAGUAUUAUUAUUACCACCCCUAACUUUGCUUCUGCUAAAACCCAGUUCAAGAUUUCUGAAGGAUACUCAGACUUUAGCCUGAUCCAUCAGGCUUUCCAUACGUCCUUGUGGCUUUAUAAGUCAAGGCCAGAACCUUGAAUUGUGCUAUGUUGGGCACAUGUGGACGUAACUGAGAAGGCUGCCUUAAUUGGUAGAGAAACAAAAGUGCCUCCCAUUACUUUUGCUACUGCAGAUACAGCUAAGGGUUCCUUUUCAGAUUUCAGUGAGUAGAGAAUCAUUCUUGGACAUUUUAUGUGUUGAUUAAUUUUGUUCAUCCGACACCUUCAACAAGUGUUCAUUCCCAGAAUGACUCACAAUAAAAACAGAACAAUACAAUCAAACAUUAAAUGCAAUAAUAUUUGAACAGCCAAAGAAAGAUAAAAAGAGUAAAAACACAGCAGAUAAAAACACAACUUUCUCAGUGCCUUACAAUGUCUGGCAAAGCCUAGGAAAACAAAGCUGGGUACCAGAAUGGUAGGUGCGUCUCCAUGGGGAGAGCAUUCCAAAGGUGGGUACUGCAAUAUAGUGAGUUGACAGUGAUGCUCCAAGGAUUCAGACAGAAGUCUUUCUCAGGGCCUCCUAGAGAUGUUGGGGAUUGAACCUGGGACCUUCUGCAUGUAAAGCAGAAGCUCUUCCACUGGCCUAUGGUCCCAGAGACUCUCUCU